AAUCUUCCGCAAUGGACGAAAGUCUGACGGAGCAACGCCGCGUGAGUGAUGAAGGCUUUCGGGUCGUAAAACUCUGUUGUUAGGGAAGAACAAGUGCUAGUUGAAUAAGCUGGCACCUUGACGGUACCUAACCAGAAAGCCACGGCUAACUACGUGCCAGCAGCCGCGGUAAUACGUAGGUGGCAAGCGUUAUCCGGAAUUAUUGGGCGUAAAGCGCGCGCAGGUGGUUUCUUAAGUCUGAUGUGAAAGCCCACGGCUCAACCGUGGAGGGUCAUUGGAAACUGGGAGACUUGAGUGCAGAAGAGGAAAGUGGAAUUCCAUGUGUAGCGGUGAAAUGCGUAGAGAUAUGGAGGAACACCAGUGGCGAAGGCGACUUUCUGGUCUGUAACUGACACUGAGGCGCGAAAGCGUGGGGAGCAAACAGGAUUAGAUACCCUGGUAGUCCACGCCGUAAACGAUGAGUGCUAAGUGUUAGAGGGUUUCCGCCCUUUAGUGCUGAAGUUAACGCAUUAAGCACUCCGCCUGGGGAGUACGGCCGCAAGGCUGAAAC
rnacentral:rRNA from 1 species